rnacentral:rRNA from 1 species
GGAAUAUUGGGCAAUGGAGGAAACUCUGACCCAGCAACGCCGCGUGAAUGAUGAAGGUCUUCGGAUUGUAAAGUUCUUUUCUAAGGGAAGAAGAAAGUGACGGUACCUUAGGAAUAAGCAUCGGCUACCUCCGUGCCAGCAGCCGCGGUAAUACGGAGGAUGCGAGCGUUAUCCGGAUUUAUUGGGUUUAAAGGGUGCGUAGGCGGUUACUUAAGUCAGCGGUCAAAUGGCGGGGCUCAACCCCGUCCAGCCGUUGAAACUGGGUAGCUUGAGGCGGCGAGAAGUACGCGGAAUGCGCGGUGUAGCGGUGAAAUGCAUAGAUAUCGCGCAGAACUCCGAUUGCGAAGGCAGCGUACCGGCGCCGCACUGACGCUGAGGCACGAAAGCGUGGGUAUCGAACAG